rnacentral:tRNA from 1 species
GCUUGGCUGGUUCAGUCGGCAGAGCAUGAGACUCUUGAUCUUGGGGUUGUGAGUUCAAGUCCCAUGUUGGAUG